UCUGCUGUGCUGACCACAACUGCUAUGCUGAGCCCAGGGCAUCUAACCUGAGGAUGCAGCCCAGUUGGGAAGCUUCAUAUUGGGUGACUGGAGUGUGUGCCAGAGGGCGUGCCAAGCUACAAGACAAUCACCUUCGAUUUCCCUGGAGAGUCAAUUUGACCAUAAGGAAUGACCGAAGGAUUGGGGAAGAAAAUACUCCCCCUGCUGAUGCUCCUUUGGUUCUACUUGGGAGUGAAGCUCACAAGAGGAGGG
rnacentral:lncRNA from 1 species